GUCCACAUUUAUCGAUAUCAGAAGAAUUGAUUUGUUGUAGAAGCCGUCAGCAGACAUGCAUCUUUACGUUUAUUUACCCCCAAGAUCGUUCCCUUUUCUCCCCUCAUGACAUCUUAUUUAACCCCACAGCUGCAGAAUCACAAAACAAACAUAAGCCCUAAUUAAGGCGCCGUUUCAAGCCGUGGUAUUUACGCCCCUGAGACAGGUCCCCUUCAAUCUGAAUGUCAUUGAGGCGUAAUGAGGGGACGAAGUGAACCCACCUCUGUACCGUCUUCAGAGGUGGUAACAUGUUUAAAACUCCAUUAUUUUGCAUUUUUAAAUAAAAUCAACUCCUCAAAAAAAGUGAAUACCAACAGAAGAACAUUGCAGGGGAUUUUGGCACAUUUUUUGGGGGCGCUACUCAUACGUUUAGCUGUGUUGCUCAUUCCACAAAUGCACAAUCCUUACAAGUUAUACCUCGUUGUAAAGGUGACUAAUCAGGGUUUCCAACGAUAUAAAAUACAACACCAAUUAGUUUUUAUUAAAGGGGCCAAAUAAUUGACCCAAAUAAUGUUUCCAAACUUUUUUUGAGGAGUUUAUUCUGAAUGUUUGAACUCUCUUUAGCUGAGAGUGCUUUACUUGCUGUGUGCUUUUAUUUUGAAAUUAAGUAAGGCCCUUCCUAAACAUGAAGUGGUUAGGGAUCCCAAAGUGAGGUCAAACAGCUCAAAGGUCAAUGUGUGAUGUCAUAAGGUCAAUGUGUGAUGUCAUAAGGUCAGUGUGUGAUGUCAUAAGGUCAAUGUGUGAUGUCAUAAGGUCAAUGUGUGAUGUCAUAAGGUCAGUGUGUGAUGUCAUAAGGUCAAUGUGUGAUGUCAUAAGGUCAAUGUGUGAUGUCAUAAGGUCAAUGUGACCACUAUCUACGGUGCAGAUGAUGAUUCAUUAUUCACGAUGUUAAAACAGAUCUGUAGGAGAGUAAAUGAAAUGUAAAGAUGCAUGUCCUCUUAGGGCUUCCGUAUGAAACUAAGAUCAUGAGUUUGUUUGUGUUUUGCUUCCUGUCACUCAUCUCCAUGUUUGAACUC